rnacentral:rRNA from 1 species
CGAGUUGUUGCUGGUCCUCGAAUGGGGGCAUGUGCACACUCUGUUUACAUACCCACUCACACCUGUGCACCCUCUGUAGUUCUGUGGUGUGGGGGACCCUGUCCUCCUCCCGUGGUUCUAUGUCUUUACACACACUCAGUGAUAAAGUCUUAUGGAAUGUAUUUCGCGUUUAACGCAAUACAAUACAACUUUCAGCAACGGAUCUCUUGGCUCUCGCAUCGAUGAAGAACGCAGCGAAAUGCGAUAAGUAAUGUGAAUUGCAGAAUUCAGUGAAUCAUCGAAUCUUUGAACGCACCUUGCGCCCUUUGGCUAUUCCGAAGGGCAUGCCUGUUUGAGUAUCAUGAACACCUCAACUCUCAUGGAUUGCCAUGAUGAGCUUGGACUUUGGGGGUCUUGCUGGCCUACGGUCGGCUCCUCUCAAAUGAAUCAGCUUGCCAGUGUUUGGUGGGAUCACAGGUGUGAUAACUAUCUACGCUUGUGGCCUUCUGCCAAGUAACCUUCAGCAAUGGAGGUUCACUGGUGCUCAUAAAUGUCUCUCCUCAGUGAGGACAGCUCUUUUGAAUGUNUGAUCUCAAA